CAAGCGUUGUCCGGAUUUAUUGGGUUUAAAGGGUGCGUAGGCGGUUCUAUAAGUCAGUGGUGAAAUCCGGCAGCUCAACUGUCGAUGUGCCAUUGAUACUGCAGAACUUGAGUACAGACGAGGUAGGCGGAAUUGACGGUGUAGCGGUGAAAUGCUUAGAUAUCGUCAAGAACACCGAUAGCGAAGGCAGCUUACUAGACUGUAACUGACGCUGAUGCACGAAAGUGUGGGGAUCAAACAGG
rnacentral:rRNA from 1 species